GGGCCCGCACAAGCGGUGGAGCAUGUGGUUUAAUUCGAUGAUACGCGAGGAACCUUACCAGGGCUUAAAUGUAGUCUGACAGGGGUGGAAACACCCCCUCCUUCGGGCAGAUUACAAGGUGCUGCAUGGUUGUCGUCAGCUCGUGCCGUGAGGUGUCAGGUUAAGUCCUAUAACGAGCGCAACCCCUGCCGUUAGUUGCCAGCAUGUAAUGAUGGGAACUCUAACGGGACUGCCGGUGCAAACCGCGAGGAAGGUGGGGGAUGACGUCAAAUCAUCACGGCCCUUACGUCCUGGGCUACACACGUGCUACAAUGGCCGGUACAGAGGGCAGCCACACCGCAAGGUGGAG
rnacentral:rRNA from 1 species